GUGGGGGAUAUUGCACAAUGGGGGAAACCCUGAUGCAGCGACGCCGCGUGAGUGAAGAAGUAUUUCGGUAUGUAAAGCUCUAUCAGCAGGGAAGAAAGUGACAGUACCUGAGUAAGAAGCCCCGGCUAACUACGUGCCAGCAGCCGCGGUAAUACGUAGGGGGCAAGCGUUAUCCGGAUUUACUGGGUGUAAAGGGAGCGCAGACGGACGGAUAAGUCUGAAGUGAAAGCCCGCGGCUCAACUGCGGGACUGCUUUGGAAACUGUGCGUCUUGAGUACGGGAGGGGCAGGCGGAAUUCCUGGUGUAGCGGUGAAAUGCGUAGAUAUCAGGAGGAACACCGGCGGCGAAGGCGGCCUGCUGGACCGAAACUGACGUUGAGGCUCGAAAGCGUGGGGAGCAAACAGG
rnacentral:rRNA from 1 species